GAGCGGCGGACGGGUUAGUAACGCGUGGGAACAUACCCUUUGGUACGGAAUAGCCUCUGGAAACGGAGAGUAAUACCGUAUGAGCCCUUCGGGGGAAAGAUUUAUCGCCAAAGGAUUGGCCCGCGUUAGAUUAGGUAGUUGGUGGGGUAAUGGCCUACCAAGCCUACGAUCUAUAGCUGGUUUUAGAGGAUGAUCANCAACACUGGGACUGANACACGGCCCANACUCCUACGGGAGGCAGCAGUGGGGAAUCUUGGACAAUGGGGGCAACCCUGAUCCANCCAUGCCGCGUGAGUGAUGAAGGCCUUAGGGUCGUAAAGCUCUUUCNCCUGUGAAGAUAAUGACGGUAGCAGGUAAAGAAACCCCGGCUAACUCCGUGCCAGCAGCCGCGGUAAUACNGAGGGGGUUAGCGUUGUUCGNAAUUACUGGGCGUAAAGCGNANGUAGGCGGACUGNAAANUUGGGGGUGAAAUCCCAGGGNUCAACCCUGGAACUGCCUCCAAAACUAUCA
rnacentral:rRNA from 1 species